rnacentral:rRNA from 1 species
UGCCAGCCGCCGCGGUAAUACGGAGGGGGUUAGCGUUGUUCGGAAUUACUGGGCGUAAAGCGUACGUAGGCGGAUUAAUAAGUUAUUCGUUAAAUCCUAAAGCUUAACUUUAGAAUAGCCUAUAAUACUACUUUACUAGAGUUUUAUUCAGAAGAGUAGAAUUCCAUGUUUAGGGAUAAGCCCCGUAGAUAUAUGGAGGAACACCUGUGGCGAAGGCGACUCUUUAGUAAAAACUGACGUUGAGGGACGAAAGUGUAGGGAGCAAACAGGAUUAGAUA